GAUGAACGCUAGCUACAGGCUUAACACAUGCAAGUCGAGGGGCAGCAUUAUCUUAGCUUGCUAAGAUAGAUGGUGACCGGCGCACGGGUGAGUAACACGUAUGCAACCUACCCAUAACAGGGGGAUAAGCGGAAGAAAUUCCGUCUAAUACCGCGUAACACAUAGUUGAGGCAUCUCGAUAAUGUAAAAGAUUUAUCGCUGAUAGAUAGGCAUGCGUUCCAUUAGGCAGUUGGCGGGGUAACGGCUCACCAAACCUUCGAUGGAUAGGGGUUCUGAGAGGAAGGUCCCCCACAUUGGAACUGAGACACGGUCCAA
rnacentral:rRNA from 1 species